rnacentral:rRNA from 1 species
UACGUAGGUGGCAAGCGUUAAUCGGAAUUACUGGGCGUAAAGCGUGCGCAGGCGGUUAUGUAAGACAGAUGUGAAAUGCCCGGGCUUAACCUGGGAACUGCAUUUGUGACUGCAUGGCUAGAGUUUGGCAGAGGGGGGUAGAAUUCCACGUGUAGCAGUGAAAUGCGUAGAGAUGUGGAGGAACACCGAUGGCGAAGGCAGCCCCCUGGGCCAAUACUGACGCUCAUGCACGAAAGCGUGGGGAGCAAACAGG